CCUACGGGAGGCAGCAGUGGGGGAUAUUGCACAAUGGGGGAAACCCUGAUGCAGCGACGCCGCGUGAGUGAAGAAGUAUUUCGGUAUGUAAAGCUCUAUCAGCAGGGAAGAAAAUGACAGUACCUGACCAAGAAGCCCCGGCUAACUACGUGCCAGCAGCCGCGGUAAUACGGAGGAUGCGAGCGUUAUCCGGAUUUAUUGGGUUAAAAGGGUGCGCAGGCGGGCGGUUAAGCCGGCGGUAAAAAUUCAGGGCACAACCCUGUCGAGCCGUCGGAACUGGCAGUCUUGAGUGGGCGAGAAGUAUGCGGAAUGCGUGGUGUAGCGGUGAAAUGCAUAGAUAUCACGCAGAACGCCGAUUGCGAAGGCAGCAUACCGGCGCCCAACUGACGCUGAGGCACGAAAGCGUGGGGAUCGAACAGGAUUAGAUACCCCUGUAGUC
rnacentral:rRNA from 1 species